CACGCUGUCCUUGUGUUUCUGCAGCCAUGGAAAGUAAUCCAACCAACAGCAGGCCCAAGCGCUGACUUUUAUUGAGGGAUUUGGAUGAACUGUUUGCAGGAAAAACUCACAAGAAUCAGCAUUUUGGAUUUCUGUUACAUUCCCCCCCACAUAGUGUACAAGACAGAUACACAAGUGAUGAUCUUCAGCUGUGCGGUCUAAACACACAAUGGAGGAGUCUGAGCUAAUGACCCGAACAACUGACGAAAGACGAAUGACGAGGUUACGGCUGGAGGAGGACUCACAUCAGCCAACAGAUUUUGUUUUCACAACCUGGCAGCCCUGAAGCUUUCCCUAGUAAUGAAUGAGUCUUUAAAGCAUUGAUAAAUUAUUGAUUCCCCAUCAAAAAGCCACAACUGAUAAACCAUUUACGAGGAUCGCCCUGUUAGAACAAGGGUCCAUUCACGACAGGAUCUCUCACAUUUCAGUCACAUGUUGUUUACACGCCUAGUCAACAGAAUAAAGUGGAUCUGUGUCAGA